AAGACUAAAUGCGUUGCCUAUUGAUACAUAGUAUCAAACCAUGAGUCCUCAAACACCAAGAAGGAAUGGCUGGCAGACAUCACCUAGUCUACGGUCAGAUUCUCUAGUAGCAAUCUGCUCUCAAUGACCAGGACUACUGCAGAGCUGGGAAGACCUGGCCCCUGUUCCUCAAGGCAAGCAAACUCCGAAGGGCUAGUGCCAUCGCUUCUGUCAGGGAAGGCUGGCAGCCUUCCCUAGGUAAGAUCAAGUGGUCCCAGUCAAGCACAAAUAAUGCCUGCAGGGCUGCUUGUUCAUGGUGCACUCUAGAGGAAGGAUGGGGAAGGAAGACACCAUUGACAAGCAAAAGCGUGCAGAAGUACAGACGGCCCCACCAAGCUCCAUUUGUUCAGUGGCAAAUACACAGACUGGAUUCAUUCAGUGUCAUCAAGAUCAAGGGUCCAAGUCACAGUGUAGCACAUCUGCCUCCCAAGGAGCUCCCUGGAAAUGUUUCAAAGGGAUUGGCUGCCACAGAGAGAAGACUAAGAAUGAGAGGGCUGCCUGAGCCUCCCUCCGGCUGCUCUCCUCCGUGCUUCUAAUGCUUCUAAGCCUUGAGAAGCCAUUGGGAACCUGGGUGGUUGGCUUGAGUCUGAGAAGGUCCAAGUGUCCUCUGUCAGCCCGUGUGCAUCCUUAGCAGUCUCAGAAACAUCCCGGGCAGAAUUUUGUUUCAUGGCUAUCAUGCAUACUUUUCCACAGAUUGAUUUCGGGAUGGGAUUAUAAUUUCUGCAUUAGCUUUUCUUAAAUAUCACGUGGAUAAUGAA
rnacentral:lncRNA from 1 species